GCCGGGUGCAGUGGCACACGCCUGUAAUCCCAGCAACUUGGGAGACUGAGGCAGGAGGAUUGCAAGUUCAAAGCCAGCCUCAGCAGAUUAGUGAGGCACUUAGCAACUCAGUGAGACCCUGCCUCUA
rnacentral:sRNA from 1 species